GAAAUGCGAUAAGUAAUGUGAAUUACAGAAUUCAGUGAAUCAUCGAAUCUUUGAACGCACAUUGCGCCCCCUGGUAUUCCGGGGGGCAUGCCUGUUCGAGCGUCAUUUCACCACUCAAGCCUCGCUUGGUAUUGGGCGACGCGGUCCGCCGCGCGCCUCAAAUCGACCGGCUGGGUCUUCCGUCCCCUCAGCGUUGUGGAAACUAUUCGCUAAAGGGUGCCGCGGGAGGUCACGCCGCAAAACAACCCCAUUUCUAAGGUUGACCUCGGAUCAGGUAGGGAUACCCGCUGAACUUAAGC
rnacentral:misc_RNA from 1 species